ensembl:lncRNA
AGCAUCUCACAUCAAGAAUUUUCCACAGAGAAGGACAAGUGCUGAAGCUCUGGCUGGGCACGGUGACAGGAUGCUUUCUGAUGCCCUGGGUUUGGAUGCAGGUUUGGGAGAGGGCAGAGGGUAUUCAGAGUCAUACCUGUGAGGCAGUCUGCGAGGAAAUGUGCUGACAUCAGAGAUUUGCAUUUUAAAGCCAGGGGAUAGAAGAGGAGGAUACUUCAGCAGAAGAAGCUGAGUUUGCAUAGAUCAGAUCAGGUGAGUCUGUAUUCAGAAUGACUUCUCAUAUCAAUGCUAAUCUGUUAAUUAAAGACCCAGUCUCAUCCUGGAACAUAC